rnacentral:rRNA from 1 species
UGGGGAAUAUUGCACAAUGGGGGAAACCCUGAUGCAGCGACGCCGCGUGAACGAAGAAGGUAUUCGUAUCGUAAAGUUCUGUCCUAUGGGAAGAUAAUGACAGUACCAUAGAAGAAAGCUCCGGCUAAAUACGUGCCAGCAGCCGCGGUAAUACGUAUGGAGCGAGCGUUGUCCGGACUUAUUUGGCGUAAAGGGUACGCAGGCGGUUUAAUAAGUCGAAUGUUAAAGAUCGGGGCUCAACCCCGUAAAGCAUUGGAAACUGAUAAACUUGAGUAGUGGAGAGGAAAGUGGAAUUCCUAGUGUAGUGGUGAAAUACGUAGAUAUUAGGAGGAAUACCAGUAGCGAAGGCGACUUUCUGGACACAAACUGACGCUGAGGUACGAAAGCGUGGGGAGCAAACAAG